rnacentral:misc_RNA from 1 species
GAUGAAGAACGUAGCGAAAUGCGAUACUUGGUGUGAAUUGCAGAAUCCCGUGAACCAUCGAGUCUUUGAACGCAAGUUGCGCCCGAAGCCAUUAGGCCGAGGGCACGCCUGCCUGGGCGUCACACGUCGUUGCCCCCCCCAUCUUCUCCUUCGGGAUUGCGGGGGGCGGAUGAUGGCCUCCCGUGCGCCUCGCCGCGCGGUUGGCAUAAAUGCCAAGUCCUCGGCGACGCACGCCACGACAAUCGGUGGUUGCGAAACCUCGGUUGCCCGUCGUGCGCGGUCGUCGCGCAUCGAGGGCUCGAAAAAAUUGCCGAGUUCCGGCUCGGCUUUCAACGCGACCCCAGGUCAGGCGGGGUUACCCGCUGAAUUUAAGCAUAUCAAUAAGCGGAGGA